UACGGGGGGAGCAAGCGUUGUUCGGAUUUACUGGGCGUAAAGGGCGCGUAGGCGGCCUCUGCAAGUCGACUGUGAAAUCUCCGGGCUUAACCCGGAACGGUCAGCCGAUACUGCAGGGCUAGAGCGCAGAAGGGGCAACUGGAAUUCUCGGUGUAGCGGUGAAAUGCGUAGAUAUCGAGAGGAACACCUGCGGCGAAGGCGGGUUGCUGGGCUGACACUGACGCUGAUGCGCGAAAGCUAGGGGAGCGAACGGG
rnacentral:rRNA from 1 species